UCUCACUCUUCUUGCCCAGGCUGGAGUGCAAUGGUGCGAUCUCGGCUCACUGCACCCUCCACCUCCAGGGUUCAAGCGAUUCUCCUGCCUCAGCCUCCUGAGUAGCUGGGAUUACAGGCACCCACCACCACGCCUGGCUAAUUUUUGUAUUUUUAGUAGAGACAGGGUUUCACCAAGUUGGCCAGGCUGGUCUCGUACUCCUGACCUCAGGUGAUCCGCCCACCUCGGCCUCCCAAAGUGCUGGGAUUACAGGUGUGAGCCACCGUGCCUGGCGGAGAGGUAUUUUAAAGGCAACACGAGGGUUUGUCUUCUGGACACAUGGAAGUCUGAAUGUCCUGGAUCUGAUGUUUGAUAAGAUACCUCUUCACUUUCCAUAAUUGGAAAGGAAAUUCUGAUGGAGGAAUCAAAUAAAAUUCAUAACAAACAGGACAUAAUUGAAUGGCAAGCAGAGAGGUAGUCACCCUUCGACAAAUGUCUGUCUUAGUGCCAGCACUCUUCUGGAGGCUUGUAGCUGUAGUCAGAUGAGCCCCGCUAUGCCUGGCUUAACUUCAUGAAAGUUUUAUGACUUAAUAAACAAGGUGUGGUAGGAGCCAGAGUGAGACUCAGGCUGGUCGAGCCUUGCCUAAGCACUCAGGAACAGGAUCAUGUGAAACAAUACCUUGCCCAGGUCACGGCUACGUCAGGUAUCAGCACUUUGCUUAUUUCCGGCCGAAGCCCAGGCCAAAGCUUGAUUUGGGUAUCAGCAAGUUAAAACUCAGGCACAUCCAUCUUUCCUGAUCCAAGUAAAUUCUAGUGGGCAAGAGGAAGAGAAGAGAAACUACAACAUCAUUAUCUUACUGCUGGAGGCAGCAGAUUACGGACCCCUGACUGUGAUGUGUCAAAUGCACUGUGUGACAACCAAGACCCUACACAUCUGGGGGGCACUUCAGGAUUCCUCCAGGCGGCAGUUGCUGGCCUAGACUCACUUCUUCAGGAGGGAGGUUCGCCCUGGAAAAGCUGAUUUGCAUUUCUGCUGGGAUCGAUGCCGUGGAGACUGAAUACAUUGAGGUCUCCAGGUGAAAGAAGAAAGCUUAACCUGGCUUCUGAAUUCCAAGAGCACACGGCAAAGUGGGUCUAAAUCAACGUCUGGUUAUGAAGGGCCUAGAGCCAGAUAGGAGCUUCUUACAGCUUUUGGCAGUUUCUGGUGGAGGCCAGCUCUCCUUGUCAUCUACCUUGGCCUGAGAAGCCUGUUCCCCUCUGCAGAGGAUGAGCUCAGGGCUACACCUUUCCUUCCAGGCUCUCAUGGUGUGGUCCAGGCUCCAUUUCUUUCUCUUUGAACCUCACUUCAACAUGAUUAGAGUGACUGAAGGUAAAGAAAUAGGAACUGUUUUACCGUAAAUAAAUUAGUCCCUGCUACA
rnacentral:lncRNA from 1 species